UACGUAGGGGGCAAGCGUUGUCCGGAAUCAUUGGGCGUAAAGAGCGUGUAGGCGGUUCGGUAAGUCGGCUGUGAAAGUCCAGGGCUCAACCCUGGGAUGCCGGUCGAUACUGCCGGACUAGAGUUCGGAAGAGGCGAGUGGAAUUCCCGGUGUAGCGGUGAAAUGCGCAGAUAUCGGGAGGAACACCUAUGGCGAAGGCAGCUCGCUGGGACGUUACUGACGCUGAUGCGCGAAAGCGUGGGGAGCAAACAGG
rnacentral:rRNA from 1 species